UUGAAGGGGCUACAUACUAUAUAGCAAUUAUACAAAGUACAUCAAUAGGUACAUAGUUGAAGGGGCUACAUACUAUACAACAAUUAUACAAAGUGCAUCAAUAGGUACAUAGUUGAAGGGGCUACAUACUAUACAACAAUUAUACAAAGUACAUCAAUAGGUACAUAGUUGAAGGGGCUACAUACUAUACAACAAUUAUACAAAGUGCAUCAAUAGGUACAUAGUUGAAGGGGCUACAUACUAUACAACAAUUAUACAAAGUGCAUCAAUAGGUACAUAGUUGAAGGGGCUACAUACUAUACAGCAAUUAUACAAAGUGCAUCAAUAGGUACAUAGUUGAAGGGGCUA